rnacentral:rRNA from 1 species
UUUGUUUUUUAAUUAAAAACUAGAAUGAAAGGUUAUACAUUCAAAUUUCUUUAUUAAUUUUUAAUAAAUAAUUUAUAUUAAAUAUAAAAAUAUAUUUUUAAAAAAAAAAGACGACAAGACCCUAUUAAAUUUUACUUAUAGUUUAGCUGGGGAAGCUUUUUAAUUAAAAUUUUUUAAAUUUAAUAAAUAAAAAUCUAAUAAAAUUAAAAUUUUAAUAAAUUACUAUAGGGAUAACAGCAUUAUAUUUUUUUAAAGUUCAUAUUAAAAAAAAAGAUUGUGACCUCGAUGUUGAAUUAUAUUUUCUAUAUUUAAUGCAAUAAUUAUAAAAGUAGAUCUGUUCGAUCUUUAAAAUAUUACAUGAUUUGAGUUCAAACCGGUGUAAACCAGGUUGGUUUCUAUCUUUUUUUAUAUUUUUCUAGUACGAAAGGACAAAAAAAUUUUUAUUUUAAUAAAUUAGCAAAUAAAUGCAUUAGAUUUAGAAUCUAAAUAUAUUUAAUA